ACUAUUUAAGAACACUUGCAUGCUCAUCUGAACCAAGCAUGCAUCUAUGGUCUGCUUUUAACACAUGCACGCUCAGCUGAACCGAGCGGGCAUAGGCUACCUACCUUCAGCCACAUAAUAAGCAGCAAAUCCUGUAUGUCUCUCCUGGUUGGAGAAGUCAGACCUGAAAGAGAGUUUCAUGCGAGUGGUCGGAUAGAACUUCUCUUUUGGGAAUCCACUCGAUCCAAA